GGCAGCAUCUUUACUACUGAGCUUGUAGCCUUAUUUAAAUUGAUCUGAGACUUUAAACAGGGCUAGGCCUGGGCAGUACUAGGAUGGGAGACCUCCAAGGCAAAUCUGGAUGUUGAUGUUG
rnacentral:rRNA from 1 species